AGGUGGUCUAAUAAGUCAGUGGUGAAAUCUCUUUGCUUAACAAGGAAAUUGCCAUUGAAACUGUUAGACUUGAGAAUGGACGAGGUAGGCGGAAUUCGUAGUGUAGCGGUGAAAUGCAUAGAUAUUACGAAGAACUCCAAUAGUGUAGACUGCUUACCAGACCAUAUCUGACACUAAGGCACGAAAGUGUGGGUAUCAAACAGGAUUAGAUACCCUGGUAGUCCACACAGUAAACGAUGAAUACUAACUGUUUGCGAUAUACAGCAAGUGGUCGAGCGAAAGCGUUAAGUAUUCCACCUGGGAAGUAUGCCGGCAACGGUGAAACUCAAAGGAAUUGACGGGGGCCCGCACAAGCGGAGGAACAUGUGGUUUAAUUCGAUAAUACGCGAGGAACCUUACCCGGGCUCGAACGAUAUUUGAAUACAUCCGAAAAGAUGUAGCUAGCAAUAGCAAAUACCGAGGUGCUGCAUGGUUGUCGUCAGCUCGUGCCGUGAGGUGUCGACUUAAGUGUCAUAACGAGCGCAACCCUUACCGAUAGUUACCAUCAGAUAAUGCUGGGGACUCUAUUGGGACUGCCACCGUAAGGUGUGAGGAAGGAGAGGAUGACGUCAAAUCAGCACGGCCCUUAUGUCCGGGGCGACACACGUGUUACAAUGGGAGAAACAAAGGGUCGCUACCUGGCAACAGGAUGCUAAUCUCGAAAAUCUCUCUCAGUUCGGAUUGGAGUCUGCAACUCGACUCCAUGAAGCUGGAUUCGCUAGUAAUCGCACAUCAGCCAUGGUGCGGUGAAUACGUUCCCGGGCCUUGUACACACCGCCCGUCAAGCCAUGGAAGCUGGAAGUACCUGAAGUAUGUAACUGAAAAGAGCGUCCUAAGUAAAU
rnacentral:rRNA from 1 species